GUUAGACCUGAGGUUCAGGGUGGUGGCCCUGAUUCUCUAGAUCCUUGAGGUGUUUCAUAUCUGUCGACACCCAGGGCUAAGGAGCAGGGUUUCUUUAAGGGAGAAAGUGUUAAGAGCAUAGUGACCAUGCCAUCUUGCAGGUCUCAGCAUUUCUCGAUACCAAGUAUCUUCUUCAGUGCCGAUGCCACAGUCUGAUCCUACACAGGUGAAAAGAGGAAUGUUCAAGCAACUUCAAUUCAUCACCAAUGCCAAGGGAUUCCUCAGCAAACAUGACCUCUGUGUACUGCACAUGGAAGACUCAGAUAAGAGAAUAGAGGCUUCACAAGAGGAACAUGAGAGGUACCUGAGCAAUGUAUAAAGACACUUACCUGCAGAGAACAUGGAGCUCAAUAAACUGAUUAAUCACCCCCUACCCAAAA